rnacentral:rRNA from 1 species
AUGAAUCAUUGUGAUAUUCCUUGGGUUAAUUUAGUUUGGGAAGCUUACUAUUCCAAUGGACCACCUUCUGCACAUCUGAACAGUUGUUCUUUCUGGUGGCGAGACUGUUUGAAGCUUCUCCCAAUCUACAAAGAUUAUGCUGUCAGCAUUGUUCAAAAUGGGCAAUCUCUGCACUUCUGGUCAGAUAAUUGGAAUGGCGAGCAAAAAGCUUCUACCUGGCCUCACCUGUUCUCCUUUGCUAAGAACCAGCAACUCUCCAUUUUAGAUAUCUGGCAAACAGAUGAUUUGGCCGAACAUUUUCACUUACCUUUUUCAGAAGAAGCCUAUGAACAAUUUCAGGCAUUGGAGCAAUUCUUGCAGGAUUUAACUUUAACUACAGAAUAUGAUCAGUGGCAACUACCAGUCAAUGCAAAUAGUUACAAAGUCUCCACAAUCUACAAACUACUAUCUCCUACACCGGACAUUUUGCCAGCACUGAGAUGGCUCUGGAAAAUAUGUUGCCAGCUUAAGCAUAAGAUAUUCUACUGGCUGCUCAUCAACAACAGAUUGAACAGAAGAGCUCUCCUUCAGCGUAAGAAUUUCUUUAUUGAAAACUACACUUGUGUUAUGUGUAACAUGCAGGUUUUGGAGACAAGGGAUCACCUCUUCUUUUAUUGCCCCUUCGCACAACUCUGUUGGGCUUAUAUAUGCCCAACCUGGACGCCAAUAUACACGGGUAUUCAAGAAGAAAUAAACAACUUAAAGCAGCUGCUGGGCGUGCCAUUUUUCCUAGAGAUCAUUAUUCUUGUCAAUUGGACAACAAGGAAUGGCUACAUCUUCCAGCGAACGCCACCCAGUAUAUACAACUGUAGACGAAAGUUCAAGGAGGAGCUUAAAUGGAUCAGCUACAGGGCGACAAGGCAGGCAUACAGUGGAUUCAGGGACUGGAUUCAGUCCUUCUGUUAG